UUCUUUGCCCACAUCCCUGGGUGAGGCAUUUCUGCACUUUGAAACAACGAAAGUUCCCAACAGAAAUGUUCAAUUAACUGUUAAACACUCUCAUCAAUUCAGGGAUCAUUUCCAAAUCUGAUGGAUGAGUUCAAAAUCUCCAAUUCAUUCUAACCAUCAGGCGGAAAAACAGUUGAACUCCUGAGGAGAAAAGAGCAGAUAAAUGCUGGAAUGAACUUGCAUAUCUUUGAGAGGUGCAGUGCUCUGCAGACAGUGAGUUAUGAACAGGAAAACUUCCUAAGUGUGUACUGUAAGCAGAAUAAUAAUGGGCAAUGGGCUCAAGCUAAAGGUUUUUUCCCUCUUUCCCUCUGGCUUCAUUUAGAUCCCAGUUUAAAAGGCACGGAGUUUGUUUUUGUGUACACACGGGGAAAGUCUCACACCAUGCACAAUUAAAUUAUUUCCCAUGACAGUAAAAAAAAAAAAAAAGUUCUAUUAAAACCAAGAAUCUAAAAAGUAUGCAAAAAUUCAAGUGGAAGAGGAGAAGCUGAAAGAGGACUUAUGAAUUCUUGGUCAAGUGCAUCGAAAGGAUUCAAUCUGCAGGAGCUUCUGAGAGAGUUUUUAAUUAAUGCAACCUGUAAGCCUCUGAAAAAAGGAAAGGAGAGCAGGAAGAGAAAUGUCUGCAUGUGGAGAACUUCGACAUAGAGUUAUCUGCAAUCACCUAUUGCAUUUGUUUGUGCUGUGCAGAGAGUGACUCCUGUGCUCGACUAUUUCCCUUUAAAAACUGAGAAGAGUAGCUCCUGUGCUCGACUUUUUGCCUUGGAAAAACAGACAAGAGUAACUCCUGUGCUAAGCUAUUUCCCUUUAAAAGCAGAAUAACUCCUGUUCUCCACCAUUUCUGUCUAAAAACUGAGAAGAGUAACUCCUGUACUCGGUUAUUUCCCUCUAAAAGCAGAGAAGAAAUAACUCCUGUGCUCAACUAUUUCCCUAUAAAGCAGAGAGGAGCAACUCCUGUGCUCGGCUAUUUCCCUCAAAAAGCAAAGAAUAACUCCUGUGCUCGACUGUCUCCCUUUAAAAGCAGACAAGAGUAACUGUGCUCGGCUAUUUCCCUUUAAAACCCACGGCAGGUUUCAAGUGCAGCCUGGAAUAAACACAAACAAACGUGGUAUUCAUUCAGCCGGGGUUUCUCCCAUUCACGCUCCGCAUUCUCUCACCCUCUCAAAACUGAGGACCGCACGUUUCCAAGCGGGGGGAUGAGGGGGCGCUGGGAUGGAGCUUUUUUUCCUAAGCAACCCUUGCUUUUUCACGAUUCAUUAAACCCUUUCUCCCUCGCGUGUAAUUGGAGCCCUCUCAUUUACAUGCAUGAGGGAUGCAUAACUCUGCGAGAGGUGCUGUGCUCAGGGGGGAUAAAAAAUAAGCCAGAGAGAGAGGAGGCGGG